CCACCACCAAAGCAUUCUCUGGUGUUGAAGGCCCUGCAAAGCAGCAUCGCGGUGGCGGAGCGUCGUUUGCGACGCCCAACACAAAAAACAAGCGGUGAGUGCUUUGGGGUGGGGUGACUGCGUACCUUUUGUAUAAUGGGUCAGCGACUUAUAUUCUGUAGCAAGGUUAACCGAAUAGGGGAGCCGCAGGGAAACCGAGUCUUAAUUGGGCGUUAAGUUGCAGGGUAUAGACCCGAAACCCGGUGAUCUAGCCAUGGGCAGGUUGAAGGUUGGGUAACACUAACUGGAGGACCGAACCGACUAAUGUUGAAAAAUUAGCGGAUGACCUGUGGCUGGGGGUGAAAGGCCAAUCAAACCGGGAGAUAGCUGGUUCUCCCCGAAAGCUAUUUAGGUAGCGCCUCGUGAACUCAUCUCCGGGGGUAGAGCACUGUUUCGGCUAGGGGGCCAUCCCGGCUUACCAACCCGAUGCAAACUGCGAAUACCGGAGAAUGUUAUCACGGGAGACACACGGCGGGUGCUAACGUCCGUCGUGAAGAGGGAAACAACCCAGACCGCCAGCUAAGGUCCCAAAGUCAUGGUUAAGUGGGAAACGAUGUGGGAAGGCCCAGACAGCCAGGAUGUUGGCUUAGAAGCAGCCAUCAUUUAAAGAAAGCGUAAUAGCUCACUGGUCGAGUCGGCCUGCGCGGAAGAUGUAACGGGGCUAAACCAUGCACCGAAGCUGCGGCAGCGAACGUAUCACCCAAGACAACUUUACGGAGUUGACGAUUGACGGAGCGAAGCGACGUCAAAGCGUUCAUUAAAGUCGAGUUGGCUUAGGGAUACGUUCGUUGGGUAGGGGAGCGUUCUGUAAGCCUGUGAAGGUGUGUCGUGAGGCAUGCUGGAGGUAUCAGAAGUGCGAAUGCUGACAUAAGUAACGAUAAAGCGGGUGAAAAGCCCGCUCGCCGGAAGACCAAGGGUUCCUGUCCAACGUUAAUCGGGGCAGGGUGAGUCGACCCCUAAGGCGAGGCCGAAAGGCGUAGUCGAUGGGAAACGGGUUAAUAUUCCCGUACUUGGUGUUACUGCGAAGGGGGGACGGAGAAGGCUAUGUUGGCCGGGCGACGGUUGUCCCGGUUUAAGCGUGUAGGUGUGUGUUCCAGGUAAAUCCGGUUCACUUUAACACUGAGGCGUGACGACGAGGCACUACGGUGCUGAAGCAACAAAUGCCCUGCUUCCAGGAAAAGCCUCUAAGCAUCAGGUAACAUCAAAUCGUACCCCAAACCGACACAGGUGGUCAGGUAGAGAAUACCAAGGCGCUUGAGAGAACUCGGGUGAAGGAACUAGGCAAAAUGGUGCCGUAACUUCGGGAGAAGGCACGCUGACACGUAGGUGAAGUGAUUUACUCAUGGAGCUGAAGUCAGUCGAAGAUACCAGCUGGCUGCAACUGUUUAUUAAAAACACAGCACUGUGCAAACACGAAAGUGGACGUAUACGGUGUGACGCCUGCCCGGUGCCGGAAGGUUAAUUGAUGGGGUCAGCGCAAGCGAAGCUCCUGAUCGAAGCCCCGGUAAACGGCGGCCGUAACUAUAACGGUCCUAAGGUAGCGAAAUUCCUUGUCGGGUAAGUUCCGACCUGCACGAAUGGCGUAAUGAUGGCCAGGCUGUCUCCACCCGAGACUCAGUGAAAUUGAACUCGCUGUGAAGAUGCAGUGUACCCGCGGCAAGACGGAAAGACCCCGUGAACCUUUACUAUAGCUUGACACUGAACAUUGAGCCUUGAUGUGUAGGAUAGGUGGGAGGCUUUGAAGCGUGGACGCCAGUCUGCGUGGAGCC
rnacentral:rRNA from 1 species